AGGUAAGAGAAAAAAGGGUGAAGAAGAUUCAUCGGACCGAGAGAUGGACUCUCUGAAGCCUGGAGAAGACCCCCUCUUAGCAGAAGACACUGACUUCAAUUUGACUGUGCCAGACAAUACAACAGGAGCCAUCUCAAAGACAACAGUACAUAGGAAACCAGAAUCAUUUCGAGUUAAGAUGAAUGAAGCAAAGGUAGAGGACAGUACAACUGAUGGUACACGUAGCAAUGAUCCAAAUCAGACACGACA